rnacentral:sRNA from 1 species
UUUAAAGGAGUACGGGCUAAAUCCACCACUUCCUGUGGCAAUGCCUGGAUGAUCCACAUCGUGUGGG